AUUUCAGCCUUUUUUGUCUGACAUGAGGAUGAAGGAGAGACGUGUUCAUUUGUCGUCUGGAAAACAUUCAUCUCAAUUGGAGUCGCUUCAACUCUAUUCAAUAUGUUUAAGGGAAACCUGACUGGAAUAUUACUUAACAACUCCAUUGAAAAACACUCCAUUGAAGUCAAAGCAUUGUUGCUUUGACAGGAUUUGAUGGCUUGAUUUAAAGGAUUGUUCCUGUCUGGACUUGAAUGGGGGUAUAUGGACUUAUGCAUCCUGCAGGUGACUCCCUAAACUCCAGACCAAGUGCAAGGACAACUUGACAACUAUGGAAUGCUUCAACUAUUCAAGGAAUAAUGUAGACGAGACAGGAGAUGCUUAGGCUGGAUUGAUGGCUCAAUUGGAGUCGAUGCAAGGGAAACCUGACUGAAAUAUUACUUUACAACUAAAUUGAAGGAAUAAUGGAGAUGCUUGGGCUGGAUUGAUGGCUCAAUUGGCGUCGCUGCAAGACAAAGCAUUGUUGCUUUGACAGGAUUUGAUGGCUUGAUUUAAAGGAUUGUUCCUGUCUGGACUUGAAUGGGGGUAUAUGGACUUAUGCAUCCUGCAGGUGACUCCCUAAACUCCAGACCAAGUGCAAGGAAAACUUGCAAGCUACAUGAUUUCAACUAUUCAAGACAAAGGGGUGGCGGGUAGCCUAGUGGUUAGUAACCGAAAGGUUGCAAGAUCGAAUCCCCGAGCUGACAAGGAUUGUUCCUGUUUGGACUUGAAUGGGGUAUACAGACUGCUGCAUCCUGCAGGUGAUGACAACGCCAGACCACUUGGCUCGACCACCACUGGCAGGGUUCAGUGAUGUGCUGAUCAAUUGUCAAUCCCUGUGGUUACAUCUGUGGGGUUGGUGUGUUUAGGGUGAUGAAAUAUUUUUGGGCUGGGUUGAAUGGUUUAUUAAAAAAUAUAUAUAAUCAUGACUAAUUCUUGAGCAUUUCAGACAGGCUGAGAUUAUUUGGCAUUUCUAACUUUUCAUUUUAGUCGGUGCAGUAGAAUAUAAAUCCCGCCAGUUGGGAGGGUUUAUUAGUAAUUGCGUGUGAACAAACAGCUGACCUGUACCACUAGUUCAUAUGAUCAUUGCAUAAUCCUGACAUGUCAGUGUUUCUGAACAAAUGUACCACAAUGAAAUGAUUGUAUUACCUCAAUUGUGGGCCGAACUGCAUGAAAGUGACUUUCAAAUGGUGUAAAAUAAAAAUAAAUCCAUAAU